AAUUUAUUUUGAAUCUUGGAAGGCUUGUUGAACGGGCAGAAUUGAGGCCUCUUUAGUCUGAAGAGGAAAAAAGUGGCUAGAUUGAUGGUUACUAAGCUGGAGCUGCGCUAUGGUACCUGUUCUACUAAACCAAGGCUUUCUGUAAAUUUGCUAAGGUUUUCAUAUUGUAAAAACUCGGACUCUGCUUGACUUGGCUUGUGUUGAACCAAAUUUGUAACGAGAGAAGUCUCGCUUUGUAAAACUGUUUCUCUC
rnacentral:lncRNA from 1 species